AUGCAGGUCGAACAAGAAAAGUCUCCGUCAAUUGACGAUUGUUUGAAGCUUUUAAAAGGUGAGAGAGACGAGCAGCGCCUUGCUGGCCUUCUUCUCGUCACCAAAUUUUGCAAAGGUGAUGAUGCAGUUUCUCUCCGUCGUGUUUAUGACGCUGCCGGCGUUCGCUUUCUUGAUAGGCUCUUGAGGACUGGAAUGGGUAAAGGAGCUAUUAAAGACAAUGGAGCUAGCAAUCGUGAUGCGUAUUUACAGCUAUCGAUUACAGUUCUUGCUGCAUUUUGUCGUGUUCCUGAAAUUGCUUCAUCAAAAGAUAUGGUUUUGAAAAUUCCGCUUAUACUAGAAAUAAUGUCAGAAUCAGGUUCACUUGUUUGGGAAGAAUGCUACGAAUUCUUGUACCUGGUAGUAGUGUCUUCUGAGGAUGGAGGCAAAACAUUGUGCGAAUCUGGAGGCUUGAAAGUGCUAGCUUCCCAAUUGUCUGUUUUGCCAGAUGGUUCUCAUAUGAUGGAACUUGCUUUGAAAAUUUUACAGUUUUUGCUGAAUAAGCUGUCUCAGGAAUCUGUUACCAAUAUCUAUAUAUCAGAGCUGUCUAUGGUGGUGGUCUCAUUAGCAAGACAUUUUGCUGUUUUGCACAAUCAAUUGAAAUUUGAAGCACUUCGCCUGCUCUCUGAUAUACUCUCAUCAAAAUGCUCGCAACAGCUUCAAGAUGCACUGCGUACGAUUGCAGGGAACACUUGGCCAGAUUAUAUGCGUGUUGGCAUUGUUGCUAUUUUACAGAAUCGUGUAGCACCUGCUGAAAAGCUUCAUGCCCUUAUUUUGGCUGAAUCUAUGGUGUCCAUAUUGGGGGAAAGCUGGCUUAUUGAUCAGGCCAACUUGCCUGAUUUACAAGACUCCAUGCCAGCUGAUAGGUGUCUGUUGCUUGUAUUGGAGUCAUCAAGGGUUGAAGUUGCUGUUUUGCUCAAUGAGCUGGCCUAUUUGAAAUAUGAAGCUUCCAAGAAUACAUCAACUACUGCUGAAACUAUUUUCCUAAAGCAAACAAAUGUGGCUAUUGCUUUUUCCUUGAUAGAGAGGGUAAUCAAAUUAGUAUCGACAGUGGCUGGAAAUGAAGGAGAACUCAUUGGUGAAAGCACUUUCAUAAAGAUUAUCAAUGGGCUUAACGAGACAGUUGACAUAGUGCUAGAGUAUUUACAUGAUGCAAAGGAGCAUGGACAAAAGAAGGGAAGUGAUCUUCUUGCUUCAGUACGGGUUGUUGGGAGUUAUCUUGCUGAAACACCUGAUGCGUGUAAAGACAAGGUCAGAGAACUUUUGGGGUAUAUGCUAUCAAUUGAAGCUGAAGAUGAACUGAGCCCUUUUUAUUCUAUAUGCUUUCUACUUCCAAUGCUGUGUCAAAUUACAAUGGAGGUCGAAGGAUGUAAAGCUUUAGUUUCUUCUGGAGGUUAUAAAGCUGUGGUUGAAUGCCUUAUAAAAAUGAUUAGUUCAAUUCACUAUACAAUUGAAGCUAAUAGCUCGAUCUUCUUGGCAUGUGAUACAAUACUGAAUUUGCUUGUGAAGAGGGAGCAAAUGCAGUUUUCAGUGGAUGAAUCAAUUGUUAUCGAUCUUUUGAUGGCCCUGGGAUAUUGGGGAGAGGAUGCUGAUGACCCAUCUGUUCUUAUGAUGGCUUCCAGUAUUUGUGCCCUGAUAUUUGAUUAUACAUCAGAGCAGGCUCUUCUGUGUCAUCCUAAGUUCAAUAGCAGUUCACUUGAGAGUCUAUCACGGAUCAUUGCAAAAAGUUUAGCUUUGCUUAAGCAGGUAAAUUGUAAUAUCAAUGAAGGAGCUUUAAGCUUUUGGCUAAUGAAUUAUUUGUGAACAUGAUAUAACGGGGAAGAGAUGCGAGGUGGAAUCUUGCAUUUGAUUCAGUUAUGUUGAGCAUUGGAUAAUAUGCAGCAUGUAUUAUAUGACUUCUGUUGGAAAUUUCAUAAUUUUCUUGACAAAUAGAGUACAAUUUUGAGGUGGCAUCAAAAGGACAUGUCUGAUGUUGUUAAAGCAGAAAUGGAUCUUCUUGAAAUUGUUAGUUCAGGAUUUUCGCGGUGGUCUCAUCGGUUUCCCCGUAUAAGUGAGGCAGUUCAGAGAUUUUAAUAGCCGAAGUCACUUGGUACUAGUAACACUUUUCUUCAUUUUUUUAAUAGUUAUAAGACACUAGACUAUUAAUCGGCCUGAAAGUAAACUGUAAUUACCUUGUCUUCGAGGCUUUUGCCUUUCUUUUUUAUCAAAAAAAAAGAAAAAAGGAUAAAGUUAUUGAUUUAAAAAAUUAAGAGGGUAUGUAGGUAGGUUAUUGGAAGGGUUUAACUGUAGAGAAGGUGGAAUUGGGUUUCUGUCCACCAACCUAACUUCCCAAGAAUCAACAUUCUCGGGUCGUUUAUAACAUAUGCUUAACUUGAGAUUAUAAUAAUAAUCCUAUUACCCGCC